UUGAAGAUGGCAACCAGUGAAAAUUCACCGACAACCGAGGGCGAGAUCGGUCAAACCGAUCAGAUUGUUGAAUAUGACAAGAAAUGUAUUUUCUGUAAAAUCACAAACGGGGAAAUAGUAACUGAGCUCUUGCACACUGAUGAGGACAUAUCCUGUUUCAGAGAUAUACACCCUGGAGCUCCCCAUCACUAUCUGGUGGUACCAACAAAACAUGUGGGCAAUUGUAAAUCACUUGGCAAGGAGCAUGUUCCAUUAGUGGAGAAGAUGGUGGAGAUGGGGAAAGAGAUUCUUCAGAAGAACAAUGUCACUGAUUUCAGUGAUGUUAGGUUUGGGUUCCAUUGGCCUCCAUUUUGUUCUGUCACACACCUGCAUCUCCAUGUACUUGCACCCGCCACUCAGAUGGGCUUCUUUUCCCGCUUUAUCUAUAGGUUAAACUCCUAUUGGUUUAUCACGGCGGAUCAGUUACUCCAAAGGCUGAACUCAAUGAGUUAAAAGUACAUGAAGUUAGAGGAAGUCAAAUUACAUUUCAUGUUUGAGCUGCCCAUAUCCACGUUACUCAUACACAAGAGUCCAAGUCAAUCUAUUCAUGAUGUCAAAAGGACAGGCAGAAAUCUAGGGGUUGUGUUUAACGGUCAGUUGAACUUCUUGGACCACAUCACAAAGACAGCCCAAUCAUGCAGGUUUUCACUGAACAACAUUAGGAAGAUCAGACCUUUCCCAUCUGAGCAUGCUACACAACGUCUUGUCCAAGCUCUUGUCAAAUCUAGACUGGACUACUGCAGUGCUCUUCUGGCAGGACUUCCUGCAUGCACAGUCAAACCUCUGCAAUUGAUUCAGAACAUGGCAGCGCAUUUGGUUUUCUACGAGCCCAAGAGAGCACGUCACGCCUCUCUUCAUCGAAUUGCAUUGGCUGCCAAAGGUUGCUCGCAUCAAGUUUAAGGCAUUGAUGCUCGCUUACAGAACAGCUACUGGUUCUGUGCCCCCUAUCUACACUCACAACUUCGAGUCUAUGUGCCAUCCAAAAGGUUGUGAUCGGCGGGUGAACGACGCCUUGUGGUGCCAUCUCACCAAGGCAUAAAAUUGCUUUUUUGGACUCUCUCUUCCAAUGUUCCUUGCUGGUUGAACGACUCUACGAACUUCACCUGAGCAGCUGAUUCUCUAACUACUCUCAAGAAACAUUUAAAGAUGCAUCUCUUUUGUGAGCACUUGACCCAAUCCUACUAAUGCACUACCUGUCUUCUUUCUUCCUUUAAAUUAUUAUUAUUAUUUUUUUUAAUUAUUAUUCUUUCACCACUGUCUCUCACCUUCCUCCCUACUUGUACUUCUCUGAGCUAUUUGAAACUUUAUAUUGCACCAUUUCACAUGUAAUUGCCUUCUCAGGAAGAAUCACUUUUGCUGUAUUCCUCAUUUGUAAGUUGCACAAAAGCAUCCGCUAAAUGAAUAAAUGUAAUUAAAGUAAAUAAAAUCAUGUAACAGAAAUUAAAUUAUACUUUGUCAUUUAUUGAUAGAUUUUGGUCUUUAAGCUUUUGUACCUUAAAGAAAUAGUUUCACCCAAAAAGUUAAAAUUAUCUUAUCAUUUACUCACCCUCAUGCCAUCCCAGAUGUGUAUGACUUUCUUUCUUCUGCUGAACACAAAGAUGUUUAGAAGAAUAUUUUAGCUCUGUAGGUCCUCACAAUGCCACAUUUUUUUACUCAUAAGGGCAACAUGAAAGUA